rnacentral:tRNA from 1 species
GCGGGCGUAGCUCAGUCGGCUAGAGCGUCAGCCUUCCAAGCUGAGGGUCGAGGGUUCGAGUCCCUUCACCCGCU